rnacentral:rRNA from 1 species
UACGGGGGGGGCAAGCGUUGUUCGGAAUUACUGGGCGUAAGGGGCUCGUAGGCGGCCAACUAAGUCAGACGUGAAAUCCCUCGGCUUAACCGGGGAACUGCAUCUGAUACUGGAUGGCUUGAGUUCGGGAGAGGGAUGCGGAAUUCCAGGUGUAGCGGUGAAAUGCGUAGAUAUCUGGAGGAACACCGGUGGCGAAGGCGGCAUCCUGGACCGGCACUGACGCUGAGGAGCGAAAGCCAGGGGAGCAAACGGG